rnacentral:rRNA from 1 species
GACGAACCGUGCGAACGUUAUUCGGAAUCACUGGGCUUAAAGCGCGUGUAGGCGGCCCGGCACGUCCGUCGCUGAAAUCCCCCGGCUCAACCGGGGAAGGGGCGCGGAUACGACCGGGCUGGAGGCCGGUAGGGGGAGCCGGAACUCACGGUGGAGCGGUGAAAUGCGUUGAGAUCGUGAGGAACGCCCGUGGCGAAAGCGGGCUCCUGGACCGGACCUGACGCUGAGACGCGAAAGCCAGGGGAGCGAACGGG